AUGCAGGGCAUCUCACCAACUUCGAAGUUCUUGACAUCUUACGAAGUAGAGGUGCAAAAACUGAACCCAUGGGAUGUUUGGGGGGCUGUUGCUGCAUCAGAGUGCAAGGUAUACGAGUACCUCCUAAAAACUCCUGCUUGCAACCAAACAAGGGAAUCCGUUACUGAAUUUGCAAACAGAUGUGAGGGUUUCAAGCUUACCGAUGCUGACAAGCAAAAUAUUAUCAAUUGGAGGCCAACCUCAGUUGCUGAUGUUUAUGCGAUGGUAGAGGAGUGUGGGAAAAGAUUCAGUAAGGAUGAGCAAGGAGGGGCACAUAAUGAAGAGGAACGUGCCAAGGAACUAUUGGGUCUUGUAAAUGAGGUUUUUCCACGACCACCCAUUAAGCAAGAGGAUGAACUGGAGGUGGAUAUGAAGGACAUCUGA
rnacentral:rRNA from 1 species